rnacentral:rRNA from 1 species
GCUUACGGCCAUACCAACCUGGCUAUGCCCGAUCUCGUCUGAUCUCGGAAGCUAAGCAGGAUUGGGCCUGGUUAGUACUUGGAUGGGAGACCGCUUGGGAAUACCAGGUGCUGUAAGCU